AAUCACAUCGAGUCAAGUUGGAGACAUGUUCGUCGUGAGAAACUCUGGAAAUAUGAUUCCCCAUGCGAAUAAUUAUGGUAAGAUAUUGAGGAGAGGAGACACCACGGGAAAAGAGAAUCGCGAGAAAGAGAACUGGAAGCCACGCCCAUUUUUGCCCCCCGAGACACCACGGAGAGAAGAUCUCGUCGAGAAAGUGAUCUACUGUGCCAAAAGUUUCUCAUAUAUUCAAAUAAAAGAGGCUAAAUUCUGGCAAUUUUCCAAUUCGCCAGAAAUUUUCAAUUCUGGCAAUUUGGCGAUUUUCCGAAAAUGUUCAAUUCCGGCAGUUUACCGCUUUGCCGAAAAUAUGCAGAUUUGCCAGAAAUUUUCGAAUCCGGUAAUCUGCCGAUUUGCCGGAAAAUUUAAAUUCCUGAAAAUUGCCGAGUUUCCGGCAAUUUUCCGGUUUGCCGGAAAUGUUUAAAUCCGGAAGUUUGCUGAUUUGCCAGAAAUUCUCGAUUCCUGCCAUUUGCCGGAAAAAUCGUUUGCUCCUUCUAGCAGUUAUCCUUUCCCCCGUGGUGCCUCCACCACCUAAACUAACUUCCAGGUCCCUCUGGCUAUGAGGUCUCUGUAACAACUGAACCAGCGGCACUCGAGUUGGCAGUAAAACGUGGAAAAAUCAAUCAUGUAAUUGUGUGUGGACAUUCGGAUUGUAAAGCAAUCAAUACUUUAUAUAAUCUUCAUAAAUGUCCAAAAUCAUUUGAUCCAGAAUCACCAAUGGAUCAUUGGCUCCGGCGGCAUGGAUUUAAUUCGAUUAGGAAAUUGGAAAAACGACUGGCCGACAAGAAUGCGGGCCCGAUUGAGUUUGUCAGUGAUAAUCCGUUGUUCUCG
rnacentral:sRNA from 1 species